rnacentral:tRNA from 1 species
GCCUGGAUAGCUCAGCUGGUUAGAGCAUGGUGCUGAUGAUGCCAAGGUUGCAGGUUCGAUCCUUGUAUGGGACA